GUCAAUAUCAGAACAUAGUCUUAUGUAUGACGAAAGGAGCGAAGUAUUUUUCAGCUGUUUUUGUUAACUUUUGAAAUUUAUUUAAUUAAUAAUUAAAUAAUUACAGUUGUUGAGAGAAUACUGCAAGUUGACAUAUAUAUAUAUUUUUUUCUUUCGAUCGCGACCUCUUCGAACUCUGCAGUUUAACGCACUGAAAAGAUGCGAUUAUUAUUUUUUAAUUUCAAGUGUUGACGGGGACGGGCGCGCACGGAAAACCACAGCAUGACGGCCAAAUAAAUUAUGGAGAUAGCCCCGACCGAAUACAAUCAACUAUAAAUACGGCAGGACUUUUUAAAAUUCGCGUGAAAUAACUGUAACCACUCGUUAUUGUAUAUUAAUUUUAAGUCUAAUAUAGUAUAUUGUAACGCUUAAGAUUGUAAAUAGGUGAAAAUUGAAACUUCGAUUUGAAAAGAAAAAAUAUCAGAUCAAUCUUCGUCUCUCGAAA